rnacentral:rRNA from 1 species
CUACGGUGAAUACGGUUCCCGGACCUUGUACACACCGCCCGUCAAGCCAUGGAAGCUGGGUGUACCUAAAGUCGAUAACCGUAAGGAGUCGCCUAGGGUAAAACUAGUAACUGGGGCGU